GAUGAACGCUGGCGGCAUGCCUAAGACAUGCAAGUCGAACGAAGGGACCCAAUGAGAUUUAUAGAAGUUUGGAGAGCUUGCUCAAAGAAUGGAAGUAAAUCAAUUUGGAUUAUCCCUUAGUGGCAAACGGGUGAGUAACACGUGGGUUACCUGCCUUCAAGAUGGGGAUAACAGUUGGAAACGAUUGCUAAUACCGAAUGUGAUCUACGGAUUAAAGAAGCCUUUAAAGCUUCGCUUGAAGAUGGGCCUGCGGUGCAUUAGCUAGUUGGUGAGGUAACGGCCCACCAAGGCGACGAUGCAUAGCCGAACUGAGAGGUUAAUCGGCCACAUUGGGACUGAGACACGGCCCAAACUCCUACGGGAGACAGCAGUUAGGAAUAUUCGUCAAUGGGGGAAACCCUGAACGAGCAAUGCCGCGUGAGUGAUGACGGUCCUCUGGAUUGUAAAACUCUGUUGUUUGGAAAGAACUGUAAGAAGAGGAAAUGCUUCUUACUUGACGGUACCAUUCAAGAAAGCCACGGCUAACUACGUGCCAGCAGCCGCGGUAAUACGUAGGUGGCGAGCGUUAUCCGGAUUUAUUGGGCGUAAAGCGUCCGCAGCCGGUUUAUUAAGUCUAGAAUAAAAGCCUGGAGCUUAACUCCAGUUCGUUCUAGAAACUGAUAUACUUGAGUGUAGUAGAGGCAAAUGGAAUUUCUAGUGUAGCGGUAAAAUGCGUAGAUAUUAGAAGGAACACCAGUGGCGAAGGCGAUUUGCUAGGCUAUUACUGACGGUCAGGGACGAAAGCGUGGGGAGCAAAUAGGAUUAGAUACCCUAGUAGUCCACGCUGUAAACGAUGAGUACUAAGUGUCGGGUUACCGGUGCUGAAGUUAACACAUUAAGUACUCCGCCUGAGUAGUACG
rnacentral:rRNA from 1 species